rnacentral:lncRNA from 1 species
CUCACAGGAGGCUCUGAGCCAUCAAGAGUGGGUCAGGCUGGGCCUGGCACGGUGGCUCACGCUUGUAAUCCCAGCACUUUGGGAGGCCGAGGCGGGCAGAUCACCUGAGGUCAGGAGUUCAUGACCAGCCUGGCUAACAUGGUGAAACCCCUUCUUUACUAAAAAUACAAAAUUAGCUUAGCCGGGUGUGGUGGCGGGUGCCUGUGGUCCCAGCUACUCGGGAGGCUGAGGCAGGAGAAUGGCGUGACCCCGGGAGGCGGAACUUGCAGUAAGCCGAGAUUGCACCACUGCACUCCAGCCUGGGCAACUCUGUCUCAAAAAAAAAAAGAGUGGGUCAGGCUGGGCAUGAAUUCGCCUCUAUCAACUACCACCUGACCCCGGACAAGGCAGUAUGGUUUCCUGAACCAUAAAAUAGGGGGAGUGAUAGAACCCACCUGAUAGCUGUUCCUUCUUUAAGACUGAGCUCCAGUGUCACCCUUUCCCCAGCCCCUCGCAGUCCAUCUCCAGACCUCACCGUCCAUGCUCCGCACUUGCCACCCUGAGCCUCAUUCUGAAAAUACCUACCCGUGCUGCCCUCAAAGCUCAGCAUGUCUUGGGCCCCCAGUGUCUCUCCAAGCAGGGUCUCUGCACAGAUGUCAGGCCAGACUGUCCCUCUUUGCUCAGGGAAAGAGAAGAUGAGCUCUCAAGGUGCCAGCCUGUAGUCCCUGCACUGGGGCAGGACAAAGGUAAGUAGAAUCAAGAAUCGCCACCAGGACUACACUUUCCCCAGGAAAAACUUGAAACGAGUUCACGUAGCAUUUUGGAUCCCACCAGAACAGCAGCCCUAGAGAAAGUGCCAAGAGAAUUCCUAUACCCAAGUUUCUUCUCUUUCUCUUACCAGAAGCUCUUUGGCAUUUCACAAAGCAAGUUGCAACCAGAGUCUGGCAGCUUCCAUUGUAUCGAACAAUUAAGGAAAACAAUGAUCUGUGAUCACGGCAAGCUUCUGGCCGCCUGAAACGCAGAAGGGAGCUUGCUGGGUUUCAGACAUGGGUAAGUGUGGGGUGGCAUUGCAGCAGGGAUUGGAGGCCGUCAGACCAAAGAGGUGACCCAGAGUGGCCGUGGGCACAGGACUCAACCUCUCAGAGCCUCUGGUUCCUGGUCUAUAGCCUAAGGACGAUCCCACCUCCCAGGUUGUCAUGUGGAUUUAAUGGGCCACCAGGUGUAAUCAGUAUUCAGGAAGGGAUGGUAAUGGUCUGUGGUGUGGUUAUGGAGGAAGCCAAUGUCCACCAGUUCCACGUCCACGCAGGUUAGCUCCCAGGUCUUCCCAAUAACGCUUUGGGGCAAAGGAUUUACUGAAUUGACGCCCAGGGAGGUCCAAUGAGUUGCUCCAGGUCUAAUGACAUUGCCUAAGCGUGUCAUAGCCCCUCCCCAUGCUCAGUUCCCUGAUUUAAAGUCAGUGCCUCUUGGAAGCAAUCACAGUGUCCUUCGGGAGGUGAGUAGAUACAUAAGUGGAU